CGCAAAGCAGGGCUGUGUCCGUGCUGCCAUCUCCGCGGCGUAAAUACUCCCGCCCUGGCUGAUUUCAAGCUCCCGCAACAGGUGGUAUGACUUAAAAAGACAUAAUUCAGUAUCAUGCCCUUCGGUGAGCGUGUGGCGUCCCACACAGGAAGCUGGGAUGUCCUCUGAGUAUCAGCCUAAUACCAACCCAGAAGAGCAUGUUGCCACAUCAAUUGGAGGCAAAAGAAAACAUCUAUCAACAAGACCUGUUGGCUUUACUUUGCAAGGGCAAUGAAAGCUCUUGGAUGAGAUAAGUGCUGUCACCCCUGGAGGAGUGCCCAACAUGUGGGAGGGUGUGGGGAUUGCCCUAGGUACCAGCAAUGCAUAGAGUUAAGGGUGCCUGCUGCCAUCUCCAUUGCCUUUAGGAUCAAAGGCAGUUCCACAGUGGAAAUAUGGAUGAGCAAGAGCCAAUGCUCAGGUCCACACAUAUGGCCCAAGUCCAAGGACCCUCAGUAGCUCAGUGUCCUGAACUCUUCCUGUGUCUGACAUGAGUGAGAGUCACUCCAAAUCAGUGUGUUAGUACCAUUCUGCCCGAUCAGUCGGGGAUGAUUUCAUAAUAAAAUACCCUGCCUGCCACAGGGCUCCAGUUUGAUGCUAUACAUGUGAGUCCUCAAACUCCUCAUGCCAUCUGGCCCACCUCAAGAGCAAAGUAGAGGAUCAGAGAAUGCCCAAAGGGAAGAAAGGGGCACAUACGCCUCCUGAUCCGAGUUUGGGUCUCCCUUUCUGAAUGGCUCUGCAGACUCUGGCAGGUCUUAGGAACCACGAGAAGACAGAAAUUUUCCAGGAAGCCGCUCCAAAGUGCAGGACUGCCUGUGGCGUGGGGCCUGGCUCUCUGGGGUGGAAGGGAGGUAUUGAUGUUACUAAGAUUACCAAGGUAGGGCUUCGUGCAUCAGCCUUCUUGCUCCCAGGGUCUUCACUUGCACUGCUUGUUUCCUAAAUGAUCUGCUAUGACCCCAAGAAAAAAAAGAAAGGUAUGUUUGUGGGGUCUUAUUAGUAAAGAAGUAUGAUGUUGUAGAACUCAUCUAUGUCUUCAGGUCAGUCUCAGCUAUUUGCUACUUACAUGUCUUUGGGCAUGCUAUUAGCCACUACGUUACUCAGUUUCCUUAUCUAUGAAAUGGGCAUAGAAAUAAUACUCAAUAAAACUCGCAAGAUGUUGUCAGAAUUAAUAUGAGACAAUAUAUGUAAAAAUAUUUUUUAAACUUGUAAGGACU